rnacentral:rRNA from 1 species
GAUCAUGGCUCAGGACGAACGCUGGCAGCGUGCCUAACACAUGCAAGUCGAACGGAGUGCCUUUGAAAGAGGAUUCGUCCAAUUGAUAAGGUUACUUAGUGGCGGACGGGUGAGUAACGCGUGAGGAACCUGCCUUGGAGUGGGGAAUAACACAGUGAAAAUUGUGCUAAUACCGCAUAAUGCAGUUGGGUCGCAUGACUCUGACUGCCAAAGAUUUAUCGCUCUGAGAUGGCCUCGCGUCUGAUUAGCUAGUUGGUGGGGUAACGGCCCACCAAGGCGACGAUCAGUAGCCGGACUGAGAGGUUGGCCGGCCACAUUGGGACUGAGACACGGCCCAGACUCCUACGGGAGGCAGCAGUGGGGAAUAUUGGGCAAUGGGCGCAAGCCUGACCCAGCAACGCCGCGUGAAGGAAGAAGGCUUUCGGGUUGUAAACUUCUUUUCUUAGGGACGAAGCAAGUGACGGUACCUAAGGAAUAAGCCACGGCUAACUACGUG